rnacentral:rRNA from 1 species
AAUAGAUACCCCGGUAGUCCACGCCGUAAACGAUGAGUGCUAGGUGUUAGGGGGUCCAACCCUUAGUGCCGAAGUUAACACAUUAAGCACUCCGCCUGGGGAGUACGGCCGCAAGGCUGAAACUCAAAGGAAUUGACGGGGGCCCGCACAAGCGGUGGAGCAUGUGGUUUAAUUCGAAGCAACGCGAAGAACCUUACCAGGUCUUGACAUCCCUCUGACCUCUCUAGAGAUAGAGAUCCCCCUUCGGGGGCAGAGGUGACAGGUGGUGCAUGGUUGUCGUCAGCUCGUGUCGUGAGAUGUUGGGUUAAGUCCCGCAACGAGCGCAACCCUUGAGAUUAGUUGCCAGCAUUCAGUUGGGCACUCUAAUCUGACUGCCGCAGACAAUGCGGAGGAAGGUGGGGAUGACGUCAAAUCAUCAUGCCCCUUAUGACCUGGGCUACACACGUGCUACAAUGGAUGGUACAAAGGGUUGCGAAGCCGUGAGGUGGAGCCAAUCCCAUAAAGCCAUUCUCAGUUCGGAUUGU